rnacentral:rRNA from 1 species
AACGAACGCUGGCGGCAGGCUUAACACAUGCAAGUCGAGCGAGACCUUCGGGUCUAGCGGCGGACGGGUGAGUAACGCGUGGGAACGUGCCCUUCUCUACGGAAUAGCCCCGGGAAACUGGGAGUAAUACCGCAUACGCCCUUUGGGGGAAAGAUUUAUCGGAGAAGGAUCGGCCCGCGUUGGAUUAGGUAGUUGGUGGGGUAAUGGCCCACCAAGCCGACGAUCCAUAGCUGGUUUGAGAGGAUGAUCAGCCACACUGGGACUGAGACACGGCCCAGACUCCUGCGGGAGGCAGCAGUGGGGAAUCUUAGACAAUGGGGGCAACCCUGAUCUAGCCAUGCCGCGUGAGUGAUGAAGGCCUUAGGGUUGUAAAGCUCUUUCAGCUGGGAAGAUAAUGACGGUACCAGCAGAAGAAGCCCCGGCUAACUCCGUG